GCCAAACGCCAUAUCACGUUGAAAACAGCAGUUCUUGUCCGAUCACUGAAGUUAAGCAAGCGGGCCCGGUUAUAAUUUGGAUGGGUGAUCUCCUUCCAAGGUGCUGUUGGUA
rnacentral:rRNA from 1 species